GGGCACAAAGGAAAGGCACGU
rnacentral:misc_RNA from 1 species